rnacentral:rRNA from 1 species
AUGAACGCUGGCGGCGUGCCUAAUACAUGCAAGUCGAGCGAACGGACGAGAAGCUUGCUUCUCUGAUGUUAGCGGCGGACGGGUGAGUAACACGUGGAUAACCUACCUAUAAGACUGGGAUAACUUCGGGAAACCGGAGCUAAUACCGGAUAAUAUUUUGAACCGCAUGGUUCAAAGGUGAAAGACGGUCUUGCUGUCACUUAUAGAUGGAUCCGCGCUGCAUUAGCUAGUUGGUAGGGUAACGGCUUACCAAGGCAACGAUGCAUAGCCGACCUGAGAGGGUGAUCGGCCACACUGGAACUGAGACACGGUCCAGACUCCUACGGGAGGCAGCAGUAGGGAAUCUUCCGCAAUGGGCGAAAGCCUGACGGAGCAACGCCGCGUGAGUGAUGAAGGUCUUCGGAUCGUAAAACUCUGUUAUUAGGGAAGAACAUAUGUGUAAGUAACUGUGCACAUCUUGACGGUACCUAAUCAGAAAGCCACGGCUAACUACGUG